CCGCCGGAUUUCAAUGCAAAAUGAAUCGUUUUUCUUUUUUUCACUCGAGGUAACCUUCAUAGAUAACUCCGACUACCGGGUACAUAGUAUUCGUACGGCGCAUCCGACACUUUAAACGCAAAAAGCAUUUGUUUAGCGUUUGCCGGUGCUUUUCAUUUGAUGCGCGUUCUCUUGUAUAUAUUAUCAUACGAGUCGGUUAUUCAGACAAUUUACAUUAG